CUGGAGGGUACGGGCAUGUCUAUGACAGGACCGGACUGGAGUAGGACACAAACAGAGACGCAGAUAUGAUGGCCGGGUGUGUGUGCGUCGCUUAGCUGGGGAAGAGAUGCCACCAGGAUGCACUAUGGGAAGAAGGCAAGCCAGCGGAGGAAGUGUGAUGCUGCGGGCAAUGUUCUGCUGAGAAUCUUUGGGUCCUGGCAUUCAUGGGGAUGCUAUUUGACACGUACCACAUACCUUAACAUUGUUGCAGACCUUCAUCUUCAACGGUAUUUCCUAAUGUUGUUGGCAUUAAGGGAACAGCACUCUCCUGGCUCAGGUCUUAUUUGACUGAUUGCUAUCGGAUUGUAGAUGUAAAUGGUGACAUCUCUAUGCAUACUGAGGUAAAGUUUGGUGUUCCACAAGGUUCUGUUUUAGGCCCACUGCUUUUUACUUUAUAUAUGCUACCUCUAGGUCAAAUCAUUCGUAAACAUGGAAUUAGCUUCCACCGUUAUGCUGAUGAUGCACAGUUGUAUGUUUCAGCAAGCCAGAUGACAGACAGCAACUUAAUAAAGUUGAGGAAUGUGUAAAGGGCAUUAGACGUUGGAUGCUUAUUAACUUCCUCUUACUUAAUUCUGACAAGACUGAAGUACUUGUACUGGGACCACAUGUAGCUAGAAGUAAGCUUUCUGAUUACAUAGUAACUCUAGAUAGCCUUUCUGGUUCAUCAUGUUCAGCAGUAAAAGACCAUGGCGUGAUUAUUGACUCCAGUCUUUCAUUUGACGCUCAUGUAGAUAAUAUUACUAGGAUACCCUCCUUUCAUCUCAGAAACAUUUCUAAGAUAAGAAAUAUAAUGUCACUCCAUGAUGCAGAAAAAUGAAUAAUUAGUAAGGCAUUGUAAUGCAGGGGAAGAGCUUUGUCUUACAAAGCCCCACAGUUAUGGAACAGCCUUCCAAUUUGUGUUCGGGACUCAGACACAGUCAGGCUGAAAACAUAUUUGUUUAGUCAAGUUUCUUGUAAAUAUUUUUUUUCUUAGGUAAAAAAGCAGAUCUAGAGGGCUCACAUGCAUAGAGUGUUGUGGUGAACUGGGAUGUUUGGUGCUGUCAACCCCCACUUUCACGCGUUCCCAGGUUUGUUGAUGGUGGAGUGGCUGGCCUCCCUAUGUCCCAUGCAGCUUUCAUGUCUGUGUUAACUUCUGGCACUCCCUUGCCAGAGUCUUGCUGGAGACCCUGCUUGCACUCAUGCGAAGUACAUUAACCACUAUGGGGCAAUAAGUUUACCUAAUAAUCUCUUUCUCACUCUCUCUCUCUUCCUCUCUCUUUCUGUCGAGGUACACAUGAUACUCCUGAGAUACCAGUGAUCCUGACCUCUUCUGCUCUCCGAACCUGCCUCAUCAAUUGGAUGUUACACGCUGCUACUGAGGAUGCCCCAACAUGGGGCAGCCUAAAGACCAUUGAGAUUGCUGAUAAAGGAGUGGUCAAACAACAAAGAUCACUCGAAUAGCAAGAGAUGUAAUAGUCCACAAGGUCUCAAAGGAACCCAGGGUAAUGUCUUAGCAACUAACGGCCUCUCUCACAUUAGCUAAUGUCAAUGUUCAUGAGUCCAUCAUCAAGAGAACACUGAACAACAAUGGUGUGCAUGGCAGGGUUGCCAUUGCUCUCCAAAAAGUACAUUGCUGCUCUUCUGCAGUUUGCUAAAGAUCAUGUGGACAAGCCAGAAGGCUAUUGGAAAAAUGUUUUGUGGAUGGAUGAGACCAAAAUAGAACUUUUGAGUUUAAAUGAGAAGUGUUAUGUUUGGAGCAAGGAAAACACUGCAUUCCAGGAUAAGAGCCUUAUUCCAUCCAUGAAACAUGGUGGUGGUAGUAUCAUAGUUUGGGCCUGUUUUGCUGCAUAAGUAAUGUCAGCUUGGACCUAAUGUGUCGUGUCUGUGGAAGGUUCACGAAUGAGUGUUCUAUGGAUUUUAUUCUACAGUCAAAGAGGUUCCUGGCUACAAAAUGACAUUCCAAACUAAAUUAUAUAUUAAUGCUUUAUAUUAGAAGAUUAUUAUAGGCUCACGUUAGGGAAAUAAAUGGUCACAUUUUGUAGCCUAUUAUACUUCUUCCCAAAUUCAGUUCCAUACACAGCACUGAUGUUCCCUUUGUGUCUGUAAUGAACACUGUAAGCAGACACUCGGUAUUGUGUCUCUCUAAAGCCAUGCAUCUCAUCAGUGCUCAUUUUGAUCUUUUGAGCAUUGCAGAACAAAAAGAAAAGCCAACAAUACAGCGGACAUCUCAGCCGGUUCCUGCUGUCCAGGAAAAUAAACCAAAUUUCAGAGAACUGAAGAUAGAUGACCUUCUGCACGUCGACUGGUCAUGCUGCCUGUGUGGCAUGCUUAAGGAAUUUUCAACACUCCUUUGGGUCACAAUACAAACAGCUUGAACUUUCCCCUGCUAAAAAUCUAAUGUAUUAGCAUUUUAAUCCUAAUUUGUUAAUACCAUAAUAUUUAAACCCUGGUUUGUGUAUGCCUUUAAAAAUGAUAGUACUGCAGAAACAAUAGAUUUGUCUGCUAUAAUAGCUGUAUAUCAAUUACUUGCACUACACUCUCGGAGAGUAAAAGUGUAACAAAAGCAUAUGAAACUUUUUCCUUUGUAUAGCUUUAUUCUCAAAACUAAUUAUGGGCCAUUUAUGUAGGCUACAGCAAAUCAUUUUAAAGGAAGGCUAGCCUGUCUGGUCUGAUCCCACAGAUGAGCUACUGUAGCAGAAAUUGCUGAAAAAGUUCAUGCUGGCUAUGAUAGAAAGGUGUCAGAACACACAGUGCAGUUUUAUUCUAUCAUAGUUACAAUUAUACUUGUCAUUAUAAGCUUGCACAACUGCUCUGCUGUCUUGCACAAACAUUCUUAUCGUCCUCCACAAGUUCCUCCAUUAGACACUUUUUUAUAUCAUUAUAAUUAAGAUAAACUUGACCUUGAACUACUCCACUCUAUUGCAAUUGCAAAUAAUUAUGUAUUGCCAGGAAUAUUAUUUUCCUCCUUGGGUUCUUGCACAAGCCACAGACCAGUCAGUAGGCCCAUGCUGACCCCUGUCCACCAUAGAAAGCAUCUACAAUGUGCAUGAGAGCAUCAGAACUGCACCAUGAAGCAAUGGAAGGAAGUGGUCUCAUCUGAUUACUCAUGAGGUACAUGUCAAAGAGUUCAAGGUGUUGACUUGGACCGCCAUAUUCUCCAGAUCUCAAUCUGAUGAGAUCUGAGAGUUCCUGUGAGAUGUGCUAGACAAACAAGUCCGAUCCACGGAUGCCCCUCCUAGCAACCUGACCUUGAACUAAACUCUAUUGCAACAAUAAUGAUGUGUUGCCAGAAUAUUACGUUCUUCCUCUGGCUUUUGCACAUGUCGCUUUCUCAGUACAUUACUGAAAAACAGUUUGCACAGCAGUUACCAUACAGCUGCUAAUUUUCUUCUUAUUGUAUGUGGAACAUGAAUAUGAGUCUCUGUAAGUACAAGUUGACUGUUUAAUUUGAAGUGGUGUGCUUGGACCAAACACCAAGAUGAAUUCCUAGUACAUUUUAAAAGUGCCUGGCAAAUAAGGUGAGCCCUGAUUCCUGAGAAAGGUGACAUGAGUGAGUGACAAGAAAAGGUUCCGUUUAGAUUAUUUAGAGAGCUGUACCUUCCAUGGUACACACCUUGUUACCUCACCUACCUUUUGUCUCUUAGAGGACCUAGAGGACACAGUGUACCAUAACUCAUUUAAGGUCGCAGAUAACAUCACAUUGAAGGACAUAAGAAGAACCUCCGAGGUUUGAUCAUUGUACAACUUGUUGUACAGCUUGUUGUAAAUUAAUGAUCUAUGACGGAAGAAAGGAACAUGAACGUCGGUCGGUCACCACCGACAUCGCCACGUCACCUGAUCACACCCCGCAAACAUCAAGCAACGAGCAGGUAAUACCUCAACUGCUUUUGUAACGUGUCACCCCAGACUGACACAGAAAUGAGCUCAGCACUUCGCCGGCCUGCUAAGGACGCAGAUCAUCCCUGAAACGGUUGACGCAAAGACACGGUGUCUGGCCCCGUUUUUCGUUACAAUUUGGAAACCCAUGGUCACAGCGCUAUGAAAAUUGGAUGAGCAAUUCGCAGAUGUGCAGAUUGCACAGAUCCUGGCCAAGCAAGCCGCGCUGUUUACUCUGUGUGAAGCUCAGUGCUCGCUUUAUAGAAAGCCAAAUGGUCCAUAAAACGCGCAGGACGCAAAUGGUUGAUUUUUGUGCCUCAAGCUGGGCGCAAAUUGCGCAUUAGGCACGUCUGACCUGACCAGAAAGUCAUCACAAAGACAUUAUACAACAAAGUAAUAGCUACUUAAACAAGCAAUUAGAGCAUCUAAAUUUAUGUGACCGAUAAUCAUCAUUUAUCUGAGAAGCUCCAUUACUUUGCUCUCCAACUAUGAAUAAAGGUACCAAACUGCCAAAAUGUACUUUUCUUUGUCAUUAUGGUGUAUACUACAGACUACAUGGCCAAAAGUAUUUGGACACCGGACUGUCACACCCACAUGUAAACCUUCUCUAAACUAAUGGCAAAAUUUAGAAGCACACAAUUGUAUAGGAUGUCUUUUUGAUGCUGUAGCAUUACAGUUUUCCUUCACUGGAACUAAGAGGCCUAAACGUGUUUCAGCACGACAGUGCACCUGUGCACAACGCAAGCUCCACGAAGACAUGGUUUGCUAAGGUUUAAGUGGAAGAACUCAAGUGGCCUGCACAGACCCCUGACCUCACUAAUGCUCCCGUGAGCAUAAAUGAAUGGGUAAUUCCCCACAAUUGUGGGUAAUUCCCCACAAUCACACUCCAAAAUCUAGAAGAAAGUCUUCCCAGAAGAGUGGAUGUUGUUAUAAGGGCGACUAAAUCUAUAAUGGAACAAGUGUGAUGGUCAGGUGUCCACAAACUUUUGGCCAUGUAUUGUAUCUUUUACCUGGGACAGUACAUCUGGUGUAUCCUCAGUAACAAGGA